rnacentral:rRNA from 1 species
GACGAACGCUGGCGGCGUGCCUAAUACAUGCAAGUCGAACGAGAGCGCCCGGUGCUUGCACUGGUCAAUCUAGUGGCGCACGGGUGAGUAACACGUGGGUAACCUGCCCAUCAGAGGGGGAUAACAUUCGGAAACGGAUGCUAAAACCGCAUAGGUCUUCGAACCGCAUGGUUUGAAGAGGAAAAGAGGCGCAAGCUUCUGCUGAUGGAUGGACCCGCGGUGCAUUAGCUAGUUGGUGAGGUAACGGCUCACCAAGGCCGUGAUGCAUAGCCGACCUGCGAGGGUGAUCGGCCACAUUGGGACUGAGACACGGCCCAAACUCCUACGGGAGGCAGCAGUAGGGAAUCUUACGCAAUGGACGCAAGUCUGACGGAGCAACGCCGCGUGAGUGAAGAAGGUUUUCGGAUCGUAAAACUCUGUUGUUAGAGAAGAACAAGUGCUAGAGUAACUGUUAGCGCCUUGACGGUAACUAACCAGAAAGCCACGGCUAACUACGUG